rnacentral:rRNA from 1 species
GACGAACGCUGGCGGCGUGCCUAAUACAUGCAAGUCGAACGCAGUGGGGACGGGUGAGUAACACGUGGGUAACCUCCCAUCAGAGGGGAUAACACUUGGAAACAGGUGCUAAACCGAUACUGAUGGAUGGACCCGCGGUGCAUUAGCUAGUUGGUGAGGUAACGGCUCACCAAGGCCACGAUGCAUAGCCGCCAGGGAGGGGGAAUCGGCCAAAUGGGGAUGGGGAAAGGGCCCAGACUCCACGGGGAGGAAGCAGUGGGGAAUCUGGGGCAUGGGAGGAAAGUCGGACCGAGAACGGCCGGGUGAGUGAAGAAGGUUUUCGGAUCGUAAAACGCGGUUGUUGGAGCAGCGGUAUCGAAACAGAAAGCCACGGCUAACUACGUGCCAGCAGCCGCGGUAAUAC